CAGUCGCCACGGUAAUACAGAGGAUGCAAGCGUUAUCCGGAAUGAUUGGGCGUAAAGCGUCUGUAGGUGGCUUUUCAAGUCCGCCGUCAAAUCCCAGGGCUCAACCCUGGACAGGCGGUGGAAACUACCAAGCUGGAGUACGGUAGGGGCAGAGGGAAUUUCCAGUGGAGCGGUGAAAUGCGUUGAGAUCGGAAAGAACACCAACAGCGAAAGCACUCUGCUGGGACGACACUGACACAGAGAGACGAAAGCUAGGGGAGCAAAUGGGAUUAGAUACCCCCGUAGUCCCUGUCUCUUAUAA
rnacentral:rRNA from 1 species